rnacentral:rRNA from 1 species
UACGUAGGGCCUAGCGUUGUCCGGAAUUAUUGGGCGUAAAAGAGCUCGUAGGCGGUUUGUUGCGUCGGCUGUGAAAUCCCGAGGCUCAACCUCGGGUCUGCAGUCGAUACGAGCAAACUAGAGUGUUGCAGGGGAGACUGGAAUUCCUGGUGUAGCGGUGGAAUGCGCAGAUAUCAGGAGGAACACCGGUGGCGAAGGCGGGUCUCUGGGCAGUAAACUG